UAGAUGAAUGCUCGCUGGAUAGAGCGCUUAGCUGUUAACUAAGAGUUUGUAGGAUCAAGGCCUUCUUAUCUAG
rnacentral:tRNA from 1 species